UUUUGGAUUAAGUACAAAUAUUUCAAGAAAAUUCUAUUAUAUUUCUAGAAUAAUUUUAUCAACAUUGUAUAGGAAAGAAUAAUUAUAUGUUAGGGAAUUAUUGUUAUAUGUGCUUAUGGCUACUUGAAAAAGAAAAAAAAAAUAAUAUUUUUAAUGUAACUACUGGUUUCGGUUUAAGGAUGUAAACAAGUACGAACUUUGUGAAGAUGCAGUUCUAGAACAGCUUGCUGUGAAGAUCAGGAAGCUGCAUCUGUUCAGACGCCUGAGACCACAUCAGACGUCUGGGAUCACAUCAGACACUUGAAGUUGCUGACAUGGAGUCGUGAGAUGACGUGACAAAGCUUAAGUGGAUGGAGUGACGUGCUAAGGAAGAUUUCUUGCUUGGCAGCAAAGAUAGAGACGAAUUGCGUGUGAAGAUAUGGUGAAUAUUCUUUACAUCAAAUAAGGAAAGGAUGAGCUUGACAAGCAAGCAUAUUCCGUUUCGGUGAGAUCCUCAAAGAUCCUAGGGUUAGGGUUUCGGGUAGUUAGUAUAAAUAGUCUAGGGUUGGCCACGAGCCACUUUGAACACUUUAGACUCUUUGUACGUGAUUGUAAACCUCGAAGCUAGCAAAACAAAAAUCUGAGAAGGUGAGUGUUUGUUUUCUCUUGGGACUACACGGGUGUAGGAGAGAUAGGCUUAGUGCUCGUUCUUUAGUCGGGUUCAAUUCUAUUGGGAAGAAUAGAUUGAGUAAGAGCCGAGACAAAAUUGUAUCCUAGGA
rnacentral:lncRNA from 1 species